GCCCUGGUGGCUUAAUGGUUAAGUGCUCUGCUGCUAAUGGAAAGGUGGGUGAUACGAACCCACCCAGAGGCU
rnacentral:tRNA from 1 species